UACGAAGGGGGGCUAGCGUUGCUCGGAAUCACUGGGCGUAAAGCGCACGUAGGCGGACUCUUAAGUCGGUGGUGAAAUCCUGGAGCUCAACUCCAGAACUGCCCUUCGAUACUGGGAGUCUCGAGUUCGGGAGAGGUGAGUGGAACUGCGAGUGUAGAGGUGAAAUUCGUAGAUAUUCGCAAGAACACCAGUGGCGAAGGCGGCUCACUGGCCCGGAUACUGACGCUGAGGUGCGAAAGCGUGGGGAGCAAACAGG
rnacentral:rRNA from 1 species